rnacentral:rRNA from 1 species
CGUAGGGUCCGAGCGUUGUCCGGAAUUAUUGGGCGUAAAGGGCUCGUAGGCGGUUCGUCACGUCGGGAGUGAAAACUCGGAGCUUAACUCCGAGCCUGCUUCCGAUACGGGCAGACUAGAGGUAGGCAGGGGAGAGCGGAACUCCUGGUGUAGCGGUGGAAUGCGCAGAUAUCAGGAAGAACACCGGUGGCGAAGGCGGCUCUCUGGGCCUUACCUGACGCUGAGGAGCGAAAGCGUGGGUAGCGAACAGGAUUAGAUACCCUGGUAGUCCACGCCGUAAACGUUGGGCGCUAGGUGUGGGGGACAUUCCACGUCCUCCGUGCCGCAGCUAACGCAUUAAGCGCCCCGCCUGGGGAGUACGGCCGCAAGGCUA